rnacentral:rRNA from 1 species
GACGAACGCUGGCGGCGUGCCUAACACAUGCAAGUCGAACGGAGUUAAGUCUUCGGAUUUAACUUAGUGGCGAACGGGUGAGUAACGCGUGAGGAACCUACCUUUCAGUGGGGGACAACAGUUGGAAACGACUGCUAAUACCGCAUAACGUCAUUUGGGGGCAUCCCUGAGUGACCAAAGAUUUAUUGCUGAAAGAUGGCCUCGCGUCUGAUUAGAUAGUUGGUGGGGUAACGGCCUACCAAGUCGACGAUCAGUAGACGGACUGAGAGGUUGAACGGACACAUUGGGACUGAGAUACCGCCCAGACUCCUACGGGAGGCAGCAGUGGGGAAUAUUGGGCAAUGGGGGAAACCCUGACCCAGCAACGCCGCGUGAAGGAAGAAGGCCUUCGGGUUGUAAACUUCUUUUAGCAGGGACGAACACAAUGACGGUACCUGCAGAAAAAGCAACGGCUAACUACGUGCCAGCAGCCGCCGUAAUAC